rnacentral:rRNA from 1 species
GUGGGGAAUAUUGGACAAUGGGCGAAAGCCUGAUCCAGCCAUGCCGCGUGUGUGAAGAAGGUCUUCGGAUUGUAAAGCACUUUAAGUUGGGAGGAAGGGCAGUAAGUUAAUACCUUGCUGUUUUGACGUUACCAACAGAAUAAGCACCGGCUAACUUCGUGCCAGCAGCCGCGGUAAUACGAAGGGUGCAAGCGUUAAUCGGAAUUACUGGGCGUAAAGCGCGCGUUGGUGGUUCAGCAAGUUGAAGGUGAAAUCCCCGGGCUCAACCUGGGAACUGCCUCCAAAACUACUGAGCUAGAGUACGGUAGAGGGUAGUGGAAUUUCCUGUGUAGCGGUGAAAUGCGUAGAUAUAGGAAGGAACACCAGUGGCGAAGGCGACUACCUGGACUGAUACUGACACUGAGGUGCGAAAGCGUGGGGAGCAAACAGGAUUAGAAACCCCAGUAGUCC